GACGAACGCUGGCGGCGCGCUUAACACAUGCAAGUCGAACGGAAAGGCCUGCUUUCCCUUGUGGAUUGCGGGUACUCGAGUGGCGAACGGGUGAGUAACACGUGAGUGAUCUGCCCCCAACUUGGGUAUAAGCCUGGGAAACUGGGUCUAAUUCCCGAUAGGACUGCAGGGUGGUGCCUGUGGUGGAAAACGAUUUUCUAGUGGUUGGGGAUGAGCUCGCGGCCUAUCAGCUUGUUGGUGGGGUAAUGGCCUACCAAGGCGGCGACGGGUAGCCGGCCUGAGAGGGUGGACGGCCACAUUGGGACUGAGAUACGGCCCAGACUCCUACGGGAGGCAGCAGUGGGGAAGAUUGCACAAUGGGCGGAAGCCUGAUGCAGCGACGCCGCGUGGGGGAUGACGGCCUUCGGGUUGUAAACUCCUUUCGACCGCGAGGAAGCCACCUGGUUGGAAGGGUGGUGACGGUAGUGGUAGAAGAAGCACCGGCUAACUACGUG
rnacentral:rRNA from 1 species